UUGCAGUUGGACUGAAACAAGAAAUUGGCCAAGUCUGAUAUGGCUUAAAUUCAUAAGAUUCCUGGGGUGUAGGUUCAAAGAUAAUUAUGUUGGAUUCAAGAAAAGCAAAGAAAUCCUACUCUAAAGGAUAAUACUCUUCUUUAUGCUGAACAAAAGUUAUUGAAUAUUUUUUUCGGUUAAAAAGUAAAAUUAGAGGNNNNNNNNNNNNNNNNNNNNUCUAAAGGAUAAUACUCUUCUUUAUGCUAGAACAAAAGUUUAUUGAAUAUUUUUUUCGGAAAAUAAUGAGAAAUAAAAAAAGAUAUGCUUAGGAGUUAGCCAGGGCUUUUUCAGUGAGCCUUAUGAAGGAAACAACAGAGAGGGAGGAAUAGAUUGUUCACCAACCAUGGAGUCUUUUCCCUAAUCAUUCUGUAUAGUGUUAGCAAACUUUCAGAGUAUUACAUGUAGUUGGUUCCAGCUAUUGUGACAACUGGUCAAAUGGUGUGAAUGAUGAAGGAAGCAUGU
rnacentral:lncRNA from 1 species